GUUGCUGGCGCCGCUGCCGAGGGGAGCGCGGGGUCCAUGGAGCCGCGGCUGUGAGGCGCCCCCGGCCCGGGCCCGCUGUGGGAGCCGGGCCGAAGCCGGACCCGGGAGCCGCCGGAGCCGAAGGAGAUGGACAAACUGACCAUCAUCUCAGGAUGCCUCUUCCUGGCCGCCGACAUCUUCGCCAUCGCCAGCCUGGCGAACCCGGACUGGAUCAACACCGGCGAGUCCGCGGGUACCUAGUCUAGAACCUGGCCUUUCCUACGUGGUCCCGAGGAGAGGAAUGAGUCACUUUCCUUCCAAAUGUGCAGCAUUCAGGAACUCCCUAGAUGACUUCAUCGUUCCUCCUGUAGCUAAUUGUGAUGAUCUUCCUGCCUAUGGCUACAGAAAAUAGUUGGUUCUUUCCUCUUACAGUUCCACCUAGCAGCAGUGCUACAGUAAUGAAGCCUUCUUCAGGGACUUACAGUCAAAUAAAAUAUCUCCAUUUUAAACAUUUAAGUAUGUAUUUCCUGAGUCCUGCCUCUUGUUGAUAGAUCCUAUGCAAUGUGUGAGAUUCUGUCUGCCUAUACAGAAAUGAGAUUUACCGAAAAAAACUAUUCUGAAUAAAUUGCAGAUGGAAAGAAAGGUCUUUUGGGAACUAAGCACAGUUCAUUACGUUCUUUGGUAAAGAAAAAUGUUUACUAUCUCAUUAUAAUACAAAUUGUAUCCUGAAAUACUAUACCUAGAAAUCAUUAAUUCUUAGUUACUUGAUGGUUACUUAAGAGUCAUCUGCCUCUUCUCUACUGUACUUCUUUUUAGAGGUGCAGAUAACAGUUUUAAUUAGGCUGGCAAACACGAAAUCUGUAUUGAUUUUUCUGAAGGACUUCACUAGUCAAAUAAUGUUUUGACAGACCUAAGCCUUUUUUUGCUAUAUCUUGAAGCCAAACCAAUUGUUGACUUGAUAAAAUCAUAGAGGAGAGCUAGCUGUCAUCCUUUCUUAAUGACUCUUUUGUAGAUUUUUAUUGAUAUGGGAUUCAAGGUACUCUAUUAUAAGACUUCUGGUUAAAAACAAUCUAAAUGUAUAUUUCUAGUAGUUAGACCUUCUAAAAUGAGCCUUUUGCCCAAGGAUGCCCAUUGAAUCAAGGACUUCCUGUAGCCAACACUGUAGCACUGAAUUAUGAGAUAAAUGCUUUUACGAGGGCCGUUUGUUCCCCAAGGCUGCUGUGGAGAAGUUUGGUACAGGAGGACCCUGGUGGCAAAGCCUGUCCCAGCUGCCAGCAGCACUCCAGCACUCUCAGCAGACUACUGUACUUGGACCACAACCAAGCUGUUGAGUUUCCAUAUGUGCCACUAAGAAGCAGGUUUUGAGAAGCAUCCUGCUCUCAGCUGGCUGCAGGAAGUAUUUCUUUGCUUUACCUCUGUGCUCUUAGGUUCAUCUCCUGUGGGGUUAUUCUAGGUUCUGCUUCUACAAGCCACAAGCACCAAGAAGAAAUGGGAGUAAUGCUGUUUCUCUGCUUGGCUGAGGUCCUCGGUGUUCCGAAAAGCAGUGGGGAAUGGCCUGGUCUUCUCAAUACUGCAGCUGUUUGAGAAUUGCAGAGAGCAGAGGUCUUGGCAAACCUGGGAAGGGAGAACUGCAUUGGCUCAUUCAGAGCUGUUUGCAGCCAUUGAGGUUGGGAACCUGGGUUUAUGUUUCAGGAAGAAAAAGUCUGUUCUGAUUUGAAUGCUACACAAUGCGUACAUCUUACUCUAGAGAUAAUGAUGAUUUUCUGCUCAAUUGGAUAGCAAAAUAAAUCACUCGCUUUAAUGCUUUUCUGAAAAAUAUAGAUUGUUUUAAAAAUUUUUUUAAAGGAGCUUGUAUUCUGAGGAAAUCGAUUUAGAGGAAGGGCUGAUUAGUCUUCUAAAUCUUGCUCUUAAAGAUAAGUUUUACAGUCAUUUGAAAAAUGCUGGCUAUAAAAAUUCCUCUUCAGCAUUGCAAUUAUGAGGUCAUUGGAGGUUUCAGAUGCUUAUCUGCCUUCAAGCCAGAGGAACUACACCUUUGUGGAUGGGGGUCCAAGUCUCCAUGGGGCACUUUUUCUUUGCACAGUUUUGUAAGAACUAUUAACUUGGUUUCAGGUGUUUCAUAAAUCUUGAAGAUAAUCAAGGAAAGAUGAAACUUCAAUGGUCUUUUUCAGAGAGUUCUCACUGAGGUUUAGUUAUUUGUGGUGUGCAAGUACACAGCACUGAUAACUCCAACCUGGAAACCAGUGGCUUCUCAGUUUUCUUGCACUGACAUCCUUUUCUUAUCAAACCAGUAUUUUAUGUGAGAAAUAAGGACAGAGUUGGCUUUAAUUUAAGCCAGUGCCUAAGCUCCCACUGAUUUCAGUAGUAAUGAACUUUGCUCCUGUAUCUCUACACUUCUUUUGUGAUGAAGCUUAAAAGCUGGUAGUUUUGUCUCCAUAUGUUCCUUCUGUUUUGUGGGAGGGUCUUUAAUGAUUUUGAUAUUUGUCUUCAGAAGGGGAGGAGGGGGCUGUAAGUUGCUCUGUCUUCAGCUCUCAACCCUUUUGUAGGGAAAAGGGUAUGAAUAGUAUGUACAGUUGAAAUUAGACACAUUAAAAGCUGCACAUGUGGAGGGGUUGACAAUUUAAAAUGCUUUUAGGAUAGGUCAAAUAAUUCAAGAGGAGAAUUUAAUCAGAUAAGAUCCCCCUUCAGUAAGCUAAGCUAGCAGUUUGUUUAUGUGACUUAGUCAUCCGUUCCUACGUAGCGUGAUUGUUCAUUUGAUUCCAAUUUACAGAACAACAUGUACCUUUUUUAUAGCAGUCACUAAGUUAAUAUGGAUGUCAGAAUUUAAGGCUGCUGAACUCUGAUGGGUAGUCUCUAAAGCAAGGAUUUAUCACAUCCUCUCAUGCGGAUGCAUACGUCACAGCAUGGCACACAGCAUCAUGUUAUGGCCGGGCCAUUCAGCAUAUGCAUAAUAGUGCUGGCUUGGGUGAUCCUGGUGUUCAGCAGAGCUUCCAGUUUCAUCUUGCAUCUGUGACAUAAGCAUCAAGGUCACUUGUGUUAGGAAUUACACUUUCCAUUUAAACUGCCUUCUGUACCAUGCUGUGCAGUAACACAGUAGAUAAUGCAUCUACAACAGGCCACUUAUUUUAAAUUGUCUGUUUUGUUUACAAAUGAUGCCUUUCCAUGUACCUUCCAAAGUAUUCUGUGUAGUUCUUGGUUUUGUGUACACAGCUGCUUUUUUUCUUGUGAAGUAUUAUGCUAGAGUGAGUGGUAUGUGUGGUCUUACAGAAGAGCAAGCUAUAGCCAGCAGGCCGUUCCUCCUGAGGCAGUUAUCUCCCUGCUCCUGUGAAAUAAGUUGUCUGGUACCAAGUGGCGAAUUGCUGCUGUUCAGUGUUAUUCCUCUGCAUGUGAUAGCUCCUCCUGAGGAAUUUUCCUCCGCAGUUCCAACAGGAGCUGUAGCUUUGCUGUAGUCAACCUAAUGAAUUAUCCUAGGUGAUGGAACCAAGCAGUGAUUCCCAGCUCCUGCUGAGCUUGAGACCAUAUUGCCACCAAGGUAUUUUUCUCUUCUUGAAGCACUGACUGUACAUGGAAUAAACCCAAGACCACAUUAAGGUACUCAAAUGAACCCAUAUUUCUAAACAGAAUAGAUAGGGUAGGCAAGAACAGAAUAAAUAAAGCACCAACAACUUAAAAGAGGGUGUAAACUUGAGUUCCAGCUAGCACUGUUGUUCUAAAUGCAGUUUGCUAUUCAAAAAGUAGGGAUAUGUAAAAAUCACGAUGGCUUAUUAACACUUACUUCUGCCCUUUAGGGCCUGUGCUGAGAAACUGUUGAUGUACAGUGCUCCUCUGCGGAGAAAUCAUGGUGUAGAGCAAUCACUGUGCUGUCCACCGAAGCAGAUACUAUUUUGUUUUGUUUCUUUCAUAUGUGGAUAGUUGGCUUGUCAAAAACUGUCUGUAAAAGGGUUCUGGUGAUUAUGUGUUAAGGACCUUGCAAUAUACUCAACACACAGCAUGCUUCUCCCGGUUCUUCUCAGUAGAGAAUGAUGGGACAUGAUAGAAAGCAGAUCUACAAAAUUACUUUUUUCCUAAUGUUUUUUGUACUGUAUCAUGUAGUGACAGGAGAAGUUAUUUGCCCUUUCAUGAACCUAUUUGGAUUGCAUGCUGAGAAUACAAAAAAAUAACUAUGGAGUAAUGAUACAGAGAAUGAAGAAUUAUGUACCACCAUGCCCUAGAAAGAAGUAACUGCUGAAAAGCCAUCUCCAAAGCCAUCUGAACAUCAGAGUGUUAAAAUCAGGUCCUGGAACAUAAUUUCUAGGUAACUCUUUCCUUUUGGUAGAUGUGAGCAAGGAGGGAAAGGUGGUGCUCUGUACAUUGCUGAUCUGGACAGUGAGGGGAUUAGGACCUGUACUAAGAGGCAGGCGGUGCUAACAGUACGUGCAUUUUAGAGGGGUUGCCAGUGUCUUAAAAACAACAAUGCAAAAUCCAAAUAAGAACUAGUAAGGAGUGGCAAAGAAUCUAAACCCGAUGUAAUCUGAAUACUCUAAGGAUUAGAGUGUUAUUAGAGUCUGUUAAUAGGUGUGCCUGGACUGGGAGCGUCAGUGCCAUCUUUAAAAUUAACACUUCCAUUCCACCUCGUGACUGGAGAUGUCUAUCAAGUGGAUGUAAAAAUCUUACAAAGCAGAAUGUUGGACUUGGGCUCUGGUUCUGUAAUAGUCCAGGCCUUAAGGGACAAGAAAAAUUAAUAAUAAGGCAUUGUUGUAAUGAAUUAAUUUUGUGCUUGCUCAACUGCUCUGCAUUUAAACAUAUGGAACUAUUUUAUAUGUAGGAAGAAUUUCAUGAAAGAGAGCUGUGUCAGCCUGGUUAUUCGAGCCUGCCAGAGCAGAGAUGGGAGAGCCGGUUGUUUUUGUCCAUAGAGGAACUGAUGUUUUACAUCUGCUUUUUAACAAAUACAAAUUCAUACUGCUUCUUUUAGAUGAACGUUUUGUUUUCUCUUUAGUGUGUGAAGGUACUAAACUAUUAGUUUGCCUUCCACCAAAUGCUGUUGAAUUCCUCAUUCUCUAAUUAAUGUGGUAAAAAAUACCUGAUUACAGAGUACAGAUCUGGGAGACAGUAACUUGUAGUUACCUUUCAAAUCUAGCAUGACUUACCCUGGAUCUCAGAAAGUUAUUGUUAGAAUGGUGCGACAUCAGUUUCUUUCCUCUGUAAAAUAGAGGUGGUGUCUUUAUCACAUAAACUUCUGUUAGCAUUAGCAGUAAAGCUUUAAUUUGAUUUAAAAAAACACUUUUGUUUCCUAUCACAGUUUUGCUUUCUUAGAGGAAGAAAAGUCUAAGAAUAACAGAUAUUUCAUUUGUCUUUUCUGAUACUGCAUGUUUUUACUAAAAUACUUGAGUUGCAUGUAUUUGGAAUAACUUCUUUUCUUCAAAGUAUUUACUUCACAGUAGUAUGUACAAUUACUAUAGAACUAAGUCCUAUUCGGUAUCUGCAGGUAGAUUGUUUUCUGUCUAUCCUAUGCUUUACUCAAGAAGUAUGGAGCUGUAAAUGUGCUUUAUAGAUAGUACAAACUGUGGGAAGGAUACCUCCUUGAGACGGCAGCUUUGUGGCUUCAGAACUAUCUGCAUUUCGCUAAUCGUGAUGGGUUUUUUUGAGUCAACUUAGAGCUGAUUUUAGGUCUGUGUAUUACAUUUGCUGCCACAAUAUGACACUGAAAUUAACACAAGAGUGACUUAAAUAUAUGAAUCUUUAAGGACUCCAUAGUCUGUACCACAAAACAAAGAUUUAAAGUUGUCUGAUUUUUUUUUUUUAAAGGAAUCCUGUUAAUGACCGAAGGUUAUUAAAAACACUUGUAAGUGCUGGCUGGAAACAGAACGAUACAUGUGAGCAGCAUUAUGUAAACUCCAUUUGUACUUUUGCCAAAGCAAAGAAGAUCAGUAGGUCGAACUUUUAAGCCUGACCUACUUUUUUUAUAGGUACGUCACAACAGCUCAACUUUUUCCCACUAAUUUUCUUGCUGGUCAUGAGCCAAAGCAGAGAGAACUAACUUUUCUUGGCAGCUGCAGUAUGUAGGAUUUUCAUCUUAGGCAGGAGUUCUCUACCUAGUUCUUGAAUCCUUUUUGACCAAUGGGCGAUACCUGUGUAUUUCAGAAGGACAUAACUAGAGUGAUGCAUGGAUGAGGAGGAAUAUUGACCUUUGAAGAGGUUAAAUGCUGCUGUCUAUUUUAAAAUCAAAUGCAAAAUGGUGUUUGUAGUAUGGUGGAACAAGUACUAUAGGGAGGCUGUUUUAACUUCUUGUACAAAGUUAUUUGGGAAAAUGAUAAAUUAUUAUAAAUUCAUAGUUUAUACUAUUUUAAAUUUUAAAAUCAGUUUAUUAUAAUUAUAAGCUGUUAUUGUAAUUCACAGUGCCUAUUAAUGGACAGAGUCUUUUUUUUAAUGAGGGCUAUAUGCAGGAAAAAAGUUCUCUGGUAGUUUCGCAGCAGUCCCCUUAUGUGUUCUGCAGCUGCUUUGCUCAAUCUCACUUUUCUUCCCCAAGCCUCUGACUGAUGGAGAUAUACACACAUCUGAAAAACUGGAGAUGUGGCCAAGAAGAGGAUCUGUGCAGGAGAUAUUGUAAAUUGCAGCAUGAAGAGAUAAUCUUCUUAAGCACAGACAGCGACCAAUGAUAUUGCCACAGUCAGUGGAAGCGUCAGCUCCCGAACUGCCACAAUGGAAGAUGUUGAUCUCCUGUCUUGCAGAGGAGAACACGCUCUGCACAUGUUGUGUGCUGGAGGGGAAGAGAAGUCACAAAGGUGAAGAAAGAGAUUUUUUGUUUUCCUUAGGUUGAAUUCUGUUCUGAAACUUAUCAUACACCUAAAUGCACUUGUUAAUGAUGUAGUUCUCCAUGGUAGAAACUCGUGUGGGAAGAAGCGUGUUUCACUUUGUUUUUUAAACCCAGACUUAAUUCAAUUUAAAAGCUACACAACAAGAUUGUACAGGAAACCUGAAAAGAUUGAAUGGCCAAGAAUUUCUAAUGUGGCCUCAUAAAUUCUUUCAGUGGAACAUUAUUGGGUCACUUGGCAAUUACAAGAAGUACUCUGAAGCUUAAUACAUAAAAAUGGUGAAAUAAAGAGAGUAAAGGCUAGAAGUAGUAGUAGUUGUUUUACAAACAGAAGUUUGUUGACUUAUGCCCGGUGUAAUCUGAAGUAAAUGCUCUCUGUAAGUACAUGUUCAGUCAGAUAAGUUGGUGAUAAAGACAGAGCAUUUCUUGCCUUUUUAUAUUGAAUCCAAAAUUAGAGAGAAUUCUGUUUCAGAAUGUCAGUAUAACAACUGUAUAAACAUAUGUUAGCAGAUAUGUUCUUUGGAGCACUAUAAAACAUCUGAUUCCUUUUUAAGAAUAGUCCCACUUGUUCAGCUCUGCUGUUAAGAUAAAGUCAUAUUUUAUUUCAAUAAAGUGCAAAUUUAACUGUUCAGGAGUGGUCUGUCUUAUUCUAGCAAAAAUAAAAAAGUCUCUAGACUCUUACAGUCUAUUUUUGUAGAUGUAGAUUUGUGAUAAGGGAGCAAGUGUUAUCAGCACACAGACAGCACCUGUUAAUUGCCUCAGUAAUUCAGGCCUAAAUUGUGCAGGCUUCUGAAACAAGAACUUGCCCUAGCAAAAGGGAUAAGAAAAUAUAACUUCAGGAUAAAUCAUGAAUAUGGUUGCUACCUUGCUAUUCUUUUUUGGGUUUAAUGUUUUUGUUAUGAUGGGAAAAACAAGUAAAUGCCUAAAUUUGAGAAUUAUUACUGCAGGAGGAGUUGGUGUGGGGGUUUUGUGUGUUUGGUUUUGUUUGUGGAGUUUUGCUUUUCGUUUUUUGUUUGUGCGGGUUUGGGGUUCCUUUGGUUUUUUGUUUGUGUUGUUGUUUGUUGAUUUUUUUUUUUUGUGGGUUUUUUUUUCCCCCUCCAAUUUGCCUGGGAAGUUAAAGCUAACUUUUAAACUUGGGAGGGGCUUAAAAUGUUAAUCAGCCAGGAAACUUUGCUGGCUGGUCUUGAGGACAGAUUGUAUGCAGUUAAGCGAUACCUCAGUCUGUCUUUCAGCACAUCAAGUGUUACUUGUAGAUAAUAAAUUCUUUGUUGGCCCUGUACCUAAUCCCUAUUUAAAGUGCCGUUUAACCUGUAUUGCCAGUGGUUACAAGCACGUCGUAUACAGAUUUGGCAACGCUUAAAAAGCACCUUUAGGAAUAAAAACUAACAUUAGGUUUUAUUCGACUUGAAAUGUUACUUCAGUUGCAAUGAAACACGUGUUGGGACAUUUCAGUGCCAUUCUUCAAUUGAUAGAGAUGCCUUAUGAAAUAAAGCAAGUCUAGUAGACAGAGAGAUAGAAUCUUUUAUAUCCCCAAUCAGUAGAGUGGGGGAAACUUGUGCGUCCAAGGAAGGGAUUGCAAGACCAGAAAUGUGCUUCAUCUUUCCAGUAAUUGUAGUUGUUCUAAUAAAAGGUACUACUACCUGCAAACUCGCCUUCUCACGUCCUCGUUGCUGUAAAUACAAUCCUGCCAUCAGUUAUAUGAUUUAAAGUAAUUGCCACUAAGUCGCUAGAACAUUUGAUUUGCUCUUUGAAAAUUUUGCUCUUUGUUUAGCUGGGUCUGUUGUACUUUCUGGUAGUCUGGGCCUAAAAUGGGCUCUCAGCAGUGGAUCAGGAGAAAGUUAGGCUCAGCUGUAAGAAAGCAUUCGAGCACAUAAGGUGUAUUUAGGCUGAGUGUUUGCAGAACAGACACCUAAAAUUUGCAAAUAUGUUUCUAACCAUAUAAAUGCCCAAAGGCAUUUCAACCCAUCUCUUUUCACCUUACACCGUGGUUGAUUCAUGAGGCCAUGGAAGAGCCAGAUCAGUGGGUGUCCUUGGAGCAUGUCUGAUGCAAGCUGAGAUCAGCGCACAGCACAACAGUAGGAUCCUUAUUCCUCCUGAAUUUCAUUUGAUCAAAUGCACAAGCAAUAUUGAGGGCAGGGCCAGAACCUGAAUUUUCUGCCUGCCCUUGAAUGCCCUUGUCACUAGGCUGGAGAAAUUGCUUUAGACAGUAACCAGGAAGGCUGACAGAUAUUUCGUGUUCAUGAAUGAAGAGGGAGAACCAUAGGGUACUUCACUUGGUGUGAUUUGGGGGUUUCGGUACACCUGUCCUGCUCUGCUUCGACAUCUAUUAAAUUUGGAAGUCUGCUGACUUGGUGAAGUGUGAUUUUAGACAUGCAGGAGUUAAGAGUGGAGAGCUCUGAGGGUUAGUUAUUGCCAGCCCGUGAACAGCUUGCCUUUUAAGACACCUAUGAGAAACAUGAUCCACAAAACUGCGAAGAUGCAGAACUUGUGUUCUUGCUGGUUGGGUUGUCUUUGUACCACGUGGCAAACGCUGGUGCCACCAUGGCCAACCCAGCCCGGCCACCUCCUGUCACCGGCUGCCGCAGGUGCUGCCCGGCCCGCACGAGCCUGCACAUCAGCCGCACGCUUGGGAAGUGGUUGCAGACCAUUUCUGAGCAGGUUGGUGUGGGGUUGUGUGGCCUAUUGGAUGGAGAGGUGUCAUUUCACAGCUCUGGCUGAAGCCAGAUAUAACUCUGUUAAAAAGAACACAGGCUCAUCAGAUGCGAAAUGGCAGAACAGCUGUAGGUGUCACAGCUUCUGGCUUUCAGCUGAACAUAUGGCAUAGAACUGGUGUAGCUGACUAGAAAAAUCACUUUUAAAUAUUGACGCUGCCUUUGAUCUUUCUUUUUUUUAGGCAGUGAAUUCUGUCAAAUUUGAGUAGCUCUAUUUUGGUUGGGGGGAAAAUCAAAAUAACUAUGGAUUUUUUUUGUUUGUUUUUUAAGCUAAAUAAAACAUUAAGCUUGCUUUCUUUUGUUUUUAAAGUUAUCUCUUUUUUCCAGGCCCUUGUGACUUCAGAAACUGUGAAGAUUCUAGAGAUUCUAGUCACUGACAACACUAUCCUAUUGUGAAAAUGCUUAUAGUGUCAGGAAAGAAACAACCAGAAGGAUGCAACUUAUUAGAGAUCCUGUUUACCAACGUUUACUGAAUGUUGCCUUCUGAAGCAGGAAAAAAUACCUUCAGCGUGGGCAGAUUUCUUGGCUCUGGCAUGUGAGAACACACAGAGCUUUGUUAUGUCCUCAGGAGAGUUGUUCCUGCAUUGUUGCCUGAGGAUAGUGCGUGGUGGUCCAUCUCUUCUGAGAACAAACAAACACUCACAACAAUAACAAAAAAAACCACCACCAAAACAAACACACCCCAGUACACCAGCAGCAUAGCAUUGAAACUUGUAUGUUAGAAUUCAGAAAUAAACUUGGUUUUAAUUCGUCCAAAUGUCAGGAUUUAAAUAUCACUUACAACUCAUACAUCAUAAUGAUUGUCAUGUGUAGUAAUAAACUUUUCUAAUAUGUAUAAGUCAUAAGGAUCUUUCCCAAUAGAUGGCCCCUGAUUUUUAUUUUUCUUCCCUCUUUGGGGGUGGGAGGAGGGGGAAGACCGUGUGUUUUUGUGGAAAGGGGAAUUUGGUUUGAAUUAGGCAUGAUACAAACACUGAAUUGAAAACUUCUGAGACAACUCAGGCACCAGAUGGUGUUCAGCAGCAAGGCAGACUUUUCUGCUAAUAUACUGCAACUCUGUUAACAGGGAGUUUAGACUUUAAAAAUGAGAAUUCUUCUGUUGAAAAGCCGGUAAGCUUUGGAGUUCUAAAGAGUGCCAAAAAUGGUACCUAAUAAAUUAAAUUCUCUGGACGUUUGCUUGUUAAAUAGAAUUCAAUCGUUAGGUUUCUCAUAGGUAGCAUAAGCUGGGUUUGAAGUUGGGGAUGUUACCUCACCUAUUGUUGCCAAUAUGAGUAUUUUUAAGAAAGUCGCUUAGUUCCUGAAGCAAGGAAAUCCCUUUGCAUCUCUAGAGCAAGAUGGAUGGAUUUCACAGCUGGUUUGAAAGGGGGAGAACAUUCUGAUUUCAGAGAAGGGGAUAAAUGGAGUAGAAGUGAAAUAGUAGCUUAUAUAAUAACAUGCUCUGUCUUGCAAUAUGGCUUUGAAUUGCUCUUAAAAGAUGCAUUCUAGAUAUAGCAAGGACUUUGCAAGUAAAUCUAACUCUAUUAAAACUGAUCUUUUAACAUGGUAUAAAUACUUUCUAGGUGUUUGUUUCCUAUCAAUAAAUAUGCAGUGGGCAUAUGAAUUGAUCUUGCAUCAGGUCUGCCUCAAAAUGAGAAACUCCAGAGCUUUUCUUCUGGGGUUACAAUACCUAGUAGAAUAUUUGAGAGACAAAUCAGAGUGAAUGCCAAAACCAUAAGAUUUGGCAUACAAAGGACUGGAAAGAUAAUUCAUAAUCCCUUUGUUUUGAAUGCCUCGAUGUUCUGUGCCUUUGCAAUUAAUGCUCCGUUACUCUUUUAAGCUUUUCUCUCGAUCAUCCUUUAACAUUCAUAAAUCUUACUUUAGAAAGUCUGAACUCGGUUGCCUCUUAAGCUUCUAACUGAACAACAUACUGGAACAUCGGCAGUGAAAGAAUCAGUCUGUCAUGCCACAUCCUGAACACCGUAUUCAUAUGAUAACCUUGAAAUUAUUUCAGCAGCAUAAGUACUAAAGAGCAUCUAUUCAAACUACCUCCAUCCCUUACAAAAUAAGUAUCAGUAACAGAUAUGGUAUUCUCAUGCUUGACUGGAAACUGACACUUGAUCCUGUCUUAUAUUUUGAUUCUUCAAUAUACCGUCUUGUAGUUAUUUAAGUAUAAUCCAGUUAUUGUGUUGUUCUGUAACGAUGACCUAAACCAAAGAAGUCAAGGAAAUUGUGUUCAACUUGCUUAUAGUUACUUAGCUGCAGUUAAUUAUGUGUAUGUGCUAUUUUACAAAAUGCUCUGAUAUUACAUUAUUUGAGGCUGUAAGCAUUUAAAAAUGGCUUUAAUGGGUCAAUAGCUGAAAAUAUAGACGAGGACUAACUAUAUGUCCUUUUACAAAGUUAUAAGUCUCAGCAGUUGUAGAUACAAAAAAAAAUUCUAUGAGCUGUGCCUGUGGGUGUCAUUCAGUGUGGUUGUUUAACUGUUACAACCUGGACCAUGCCUUUUAGAAUCAAGAGGUCUUCCUCAGUGUUACUCAUCCUUUUACCCUCCCUGGUUUUGAAGUGCUUUGCAAACCAGCAGGUUCUGUAUCAUCAUCUUCAUACCAGCAAUGGUGCAUAUCCUGCAAAAGCACAGCUUAUUCCCUAACCUCUGCACUGGUUACUGCAACUGUGACUAAUCUUGUAAGCGAGGAUACAGGGCCUGAUUUUGAUGGAGUUUUACACAGGAAUAAGUAGAAGUAACUAUGUUCACCCUGGAGUACCUCCCAGGCUGUGGUAGGGAAGGGGCAGCAGCGUCAGUUCCCUGGAUUUCGGGAAGGGCAGGAGGGAGAGUACUCAGUUUCCAAGGAACUAAUAUUUGGGAUAUAGAAUUACUAGAAUUUUCCCUCAAAACAAAAUACAUAUAAAUAAACCUAAAUAAGUCAUUCUCUCUUUCCCUUUUGUAUGGUAACAUCACUUAAAGUGCCCAUUGCAGGAAAAUAAAUUCCAUAUGUAAGACUGGGUAAUAUCCCACUCAAACUGCCAAAUUCCUUGGAUGACUUUGAAAAAUUUCCUUCUUGGAGAUACCUCCUCCUUGUUUGCUGUUAGGGACAGUUGCAUUGGAGCUAUUCUUACCAUGCUC